rnacentral:rRNA from 1 species
CAGUCGCCGCGGUAAUACGUAGGUGGCAAGCGUUGUCCGGAAUUAUUGGGCGUAAAGGGCUCGCAGGCGGUUUCUUAAGUCUGAUGUGAAAGCCCCCGGCUCAACCGGGGAGGGUCAUUGGAAACUGGGAAACUUGAGUGCAGAAGAGGAGAGUGGAAUUCCACGCGUAGCGGUGAAAUGCGUAGAGAUGUGGAGGAACACCAGUGGCGAAGGCGACUCUCUGGUCUGUAACUGACGCUGAGGAGCGAAAGCGUGGGGAGCGAACAGGAUUAGAUACCCGAGUAGUCCCUGUCUCUUAUAC